rnacentral:ncRNA from 2 species
ACCAUGACCCGUGGCGAUUUGUUACCGGAUUGCGGGCCACUUAAAAGAAUACCGCUAAAGAGGUCAGGAUGAAGGAACC